rnacentral:rRNA from 1 species
GGUAAGUAGUGUAGCAAUACAUUACCAAGAGUGACGUACGGGUGCGUAACACGUAUGCAACCUACCUAUAACAGGAGGAUAGCUCGGGGAAACUCGAAUUAACCCUCCAUAAUAUAAUUGAAUGGCAUCAUUUGAUUAUUAAAACUCCGGUGGUUAUAGAUGGGCAUGCGUCUGAUUAGUUAGUUGGCGGUGUAAUGGACCACCAAGACGAUGAUCAGUAGGGGAACUGAGAGGUUGAUCCCCCACACUGGCACUGAGAUACGGGCCAGACUCCUACGGGAGGCAGCAGUAGGGAAUAUUGGUCAAUGGAUGCAAGUCUGAACCAGCCAUGCCGCGUGCAGGAAGAAGGCCUUCUGGGUUGUAAACUGCUUUUGCCAGGGGAUAAAAUAGGCGUGCGCGCUUAAUUGAAGGUACCUGGUGAAUAAGCCACGGCUAACUACGUGCCAGCAGCCGCGGUAAUACGUAGGUGGCAAGCGUUGUCCGGAUUUAUUGGGUUUAAAGGGUGCGUAGGCGGUUCUGUAAGUCAGUGGUGAAAUACUCUAGCUUAACUAGAGGGGUGCCAAUGAUACUGCAGAACUUGAGUACAGAUGAGGUAGGCGGAAUUGACGGUGUAGCGGUGAAAUGCAUAGAUAUCGUCAAGAACACCGAUAGCGAAGGCAGCUUACUGGGCUGUAACUGACGCUGAGGCACGAAAGUGUGGGGAUCAAACAGGAUUAGAUACCCUGGUAGUCCACACUGUAAA